CAUCUACCAGCUGCUCCAACCAAACAGCAGACAAACACUGGAAGGACCAGGACAAUGUAACAUUGCUUCAGAUCAAAGCCAAGUGUGACCAGCUCAUUAUAAUAAACAGCAGAGAAGAAACUUUGAGAUACAAGUUGCUGUACAUGCACAUUUCCAUAUCGAAGCAACUGACAGGAAAAGUUUGAAAAUAACCUUGAAGAUAGCAAGAAUUGCAGAUGCUGGAGCCAGCUUUCCCAGUUUCACGUGAAAAGGAGAAUAUUGUAGAGGAGAAGACUGAAUUACGCGCUACUAGAAUUGAAAGGA